rnacentral:rRNA from 1 species
GAUUGAACGCUGGCGGCAGGCCUAACACAUGCAAGUCGAACGGUAACAGGAAUCAGCUUGCUGAUUCGCUGACGAGUGGCGGACGGGUGAGUAAUGUCUGGGAAACUGCCUGAUGGAGGGGGAUAACUACUGGAAACGGUAGCUAAUACCGCAUAACGUCGCAAGACCAAAGAGGGGGACCUUCGGGCCUCUUGCCAUCGGAUGUGCCCAGAUGGGAUUAGCUAGUAGGUGGGGUAACGGCUCACCUAGGCGACGAUCCCUAGCUGGUCUGAGAGGAUGACCAGCCACAC